rnacentral:tRNA from 1 species
UCCGGCGUGAUCUAGUGGCUAGGAUACCUGGCUUUCACUCCAGGAGGCCCGGGUUCGAUUCCCGGCGUCGGAA